rnacentral:tRNA from 1 species
CCUGUGGUUAUCACGUCUGCUUUACACGCAGAAGAUCGCCGGUUCGAACCCGGCCAGG